rnacentral:rRNA from 1 species
UACGUAGGGGGCAAGCGUUGUCCGGAUUUAUUGGGCGUAAAGAGCGUGUAGGCGGCCAGACAAGUCUGCUGUGAAAACUCGAGGCUCAACCUCGAGCUGUCGGUGGAAACUGUCUGGCUAGAGUCCGGAAGAGGAGAGUGGAAUUCCUGGUGUAGCGGUGAAAUUCGUAGAUAUUAGGAAGAACACCGGUGGCGAAGGCGGCAUCCUGGACCGGUAUUGACGCUGAGGCGCGAAAGCCAGGGGAGCAAACGGG